rnacentral:rRNA from 1 species
UCCAUUGCAAUAACCUGCAGCUGGCAACCCUUAGCUCUUGACUGGUGAAGCUAAGCAGGGUUGAGCUUGUUCAGUACCUGGAUGGGAGACUUUCUGGGAAAGUUAAAGUAGCUGCUGGAA